rnacentral:rRNA from 1 species
UACAGAGGGUGCAAGCGUUGUUCGGAAUUACUGGGCGUAAAGCGCGCGUAGGCGGCUUUGUAAGUUAGAGGUGAAAGCCCGGGGCUCAACCCCGGAACUGCCUUUAAGACUGCAUCGCUUGAAUCCGGGAGAGGUGAGUGGAAUUCCGAGUGUAGAGGUGAAAUUCGUAGAUAUUCGGAAGAACACCAGUGGCGAAGGCGGCUCACUGGACCGGCAUUGACGCUGAGGUGCGAAAGCGUGGGGAGCAAACAGG